rnacentral:misc_RNA from 1 species
GUCGACGAGCUACAGGACGAAGUGAGACUUGUUCAGGAAAGAAUGCUGUCCCUCGAGAUAAAGAUCAGUGACAAGCCCUGGACAUCAGCAAACUGAGACAACCAACAUGGGCAAUGGAGUGGACUUGGCGGCGUCACAUGUGUUCUUGAAGUCCCCUCCCAGAUCAAAUUAGUAAAUAAUUUUGUGCAGUAUUUGUGAUGUACAAAGCUGAGUUUCCGAUUCUCUGUGAAACUGGAACAUAGUUAUGGAUUUUAUUAUCUACCUUUUUGCCCAAGGGUUUGAGUGUUGGAUAUAAGACGUUACUUUGU